rnacentral:rRNA from 1 species
UGUCCCAGCCGCCGCGGUAAUACGUAGGUGGCAAGCGUUAUCCGGAAUUAUUGGGCGUAAAGCGCGCGUAGGCGGUUUUUUAAGUCUGAUGUGAAAGCACACGGCUCAACCGUGGAGGGUCAUUGGAAACUGGAAAACUUGAGUGCAGAAGAGGAAAGUGGAAUUCCAUGUGUAGCGGUGAAAUGCGCAGAGAUAUGGAGGAACACCAGUGGCGAAGGCGACUUUCUGGUCUGUAACUGACGCUGAUGUGCGAAAGCGUGGGGAUCAAACAGGAUUAGAUACCCUGGUAGUCCACGCCGUAAACGAUGAGUGCUAAGUGUUAGGGGGUUUCCGCCCCUUAGUGCUGCAGCUAACGCAUUAAGCACUCCGCCUGGGGAGUACGACCGCAAGGUUGAAACUCAAAGGAAUUGACGGGGACCCGCACAAGCGGUGGAGCAUGUGGUUAAAUUCGAAGCAACGCGAAGAACCCUACCAAAUCUUGACAUCCUUUGACAACUCUAGAGAUGGAGCCUUCCCCUUCGGGGGACAAAGUGACAGGUGGUGCAUGGUUGUCGUCAGCUCGUGUCGUGAGAUGUUGGGUUAAGUCCCGCAACGAGCGCAACCCUUAAGCUUAGCUGCCAUCAUUAAGUUGGGCACUCUAAGUUGACUGCCGGUGACAAACCGGAGGAAGGUGGGGAUGACGUCAAAUCAUCAUGCCCCUUAUGAUUUGGGCUACACACGUGCUACAAUGGACAAUACAAAGGGCAGCGAAACCGCGAGGUUAAGCAAAUCCCAUAAAGUUGUUCUCAGUUCGGAUUGUAGUCUGCAACUCGACUACAUGAAGCUGGAAUCGCUAGUAAUCGUAGAUCAGCAUGCUACGGUGAAUACGUUCCCGGGUCUUGUACACACCGCCCGUCACACCACGAGAGUUUGUAACACCCGAAGCCGGUGGAGUAACCAUUUGGAGCUAGCCGUCGAAGGUGGGACAAAUGAUUGGGGUGAAGUCGUAACAAGGUAACCAAUCGA